UAUUAUUGUAUCUCACUCGCUCGUUAUAUUCCUAGGGUUCCCGUGUCCUAAGAAUAUAACUACCGCUCUGAUACCAAAUCAGUAACGCCCCCAGAUCCAUAUAUCUCGGAUCUAGGCCGUCACAUUAUUAUAGCAUACCUGACUUCCAAUACAUAGCUCGCCCCACAAGUCCAGGGUCGAUCUUACACUUCCACGCAGUCUAUUAUAACAUUACAAUGAUAAGUUCAAAAGUACAAUCUACCAUUAUUAUAAUCCUAAAACAUUCUCGUUACGGGAACAAGUCUUCGCACCCUUCGUGCCACAGCCUCACGCUUUGCCCUUGAUUUUUGCUGUUAUAUGCUUCCGAAUUACCCUUCUCAUUUGUGCCAUUUUCUGUCUUUACUGUUAAAGGAAAUAAAGAGUUGCAAGUAUGAGCAAUUUAAUGCUCAGCAAGUUCACAGUUCAAGUGCAAACAUCACAGAUUAGGUAAAGGAAUUUAAGCAGAUAUAACAAUUAAGCAGAUUCAAAAUGAGAGCUGCAGAUAAUCAUAUAUUGAACUCAAGAAAACAAAGAAUAACAAUAAUACUGGUCUCCAUCCUUGAUGGUUCCACCAUAUGGCUCGAUCACCGCCACUAAGUAGAUACCACCCCGUGUCACCUUCGCAGUCUGAUCGCGACUUUCGAAUGGCAGCACACAGUUUCCCCCGUUUAUUUGCUAGCAUAAGGGUUAUCACUUUCAACCCUUAAAGUUGUCCCACACAUAGGGCCAACAGACAUUUCCACUCUUCCACGAAUGCAAAUCAUUCGUGUUGACCAGUUUAUGAAAUUCAUUCCCCGAGUACAAAUUGGCUCACUUCAUAUUGAAUAAAUCUUCCCCUUUCCUCACAAGAAUGCGAACAAAUGCAUCCUCACAAUUCAGAAUUAAAAACUUCUCGGCCGGAUUACGAAGAAACAGUAAUCCGAUCACAACAUCCCAAGAACAAUAACAUAGAACCGAACAUGGUUAACGAUCCUUGUAUAAAAUCGAUUAAUCAUAGUUCGAAUUAAAGAAUAGAAGUUUAACAGAUUGAACGAGAAUAAGAAACUAGGAGAGGACCUCGAUAAUCAAGCAAAUUAUCCCCUUUAAAGUAUAUAGAAAGAAUAAUCAGUUAUCUGAAGAAGACAUCAAAAGCAUAAAAUUCGCAAGAAUUACGAAUCAAAGUUCGGGGUCUCGACAAUUAAAAUGUCGAUGUUAGCGAAUAAUCAAGGUUUAGAGAGAAUUCAACUGAGUUAUUCUUGCAUUGAUAUAAUAACUCAAAGAUAUAAACAAGACUUCUCGAAUAUGAGCAAGGUUAGAAUUAAAUAUCGAAUAUGAAUUUCUGUAACGAAAUAAAGAUUACAAAAUUGGAUAAUCAUCUCAAAAGGAGUGAUAGGUUAAAGAUUUGAAAAUUGACGAUAUUUGUGAUUUUACAAAAUAAUGAGUCAUCCUGAACAAUAGGUGGACUCAGUAAUGUAGAAAACUGUUUGAAUAAUAUUCUGAACGAAUGUCAAAUCUUCUAGUAUCCGUCUCUUCCCGAUUUUCUCAAAUAUUUAAAUACAUAUCAAAAUAUCGGGAUUUAAACACAGAUAUAAAUAUCAAAUGAAAUCACGUUCGACAAAUAUUUGCACAUCAUGGGCACAUCAAAGGAAGGAUUAAGUGAACUUGCCUGGUGUCCUUUGAUAUUUAUAUAAAAUAUUCUUGUCUCAAAUUGAGCUCGCCUUCCAGAUAGUAGAUAUUCUAUGUCACACAAAAUAGUGAAUUUAGUAGUCUUUACUUUAAAUAAUCUCGAAUAAUCUACUAUAAAUUCAUAAUUUAUAGUUCCUCGUUUUGAUAAUAUUUAGAUUGUUUUUCUAUUAUCCGUUAAAUCAUCAAAUAAUGGACUUUAAUUAAAUAAUUAUCUCUUUUUUUAUUAAUCUAAGAAAUCCACUUGAAUUAUUUGCUAAUCCAAUCUUUAAAUCUAGAAUUAUAAAUCUCUACUUACAAAUCAUUCACAGAUAUCCCUAAUUUGUUCCACUCUUAUAAUUACAUCGAUUUCCCGAUUUCUCACUUCUUCUAAAUGACCUCCUUAACCAAUUAUUGACCACAUCCAUAAAUUCAAAUAUUACCUAUUAAAUCAUCCAAAAUAUAAAUUUAUCUAAUAUAUCUCGAACCCAAAAUUAAACUUCAUCAUUAAAUCUGAAAAAUCAUUUACUUAAAUUUUCAUAUUUUACACUUUUACUAAUUCCAUCAUUUAAUCACUCAAAUUAAUUAAAUACUAGUCUUUAAUAUUCUAGCCAAUCAAAAACUGCCACAUCAUCAUCUUCUCCAACACACCAAUCAAGUUUUCUCUCUCCUCGAAGUCAACAUUCAUGGCUAACUUUGACCAUCUAUAACUCUCUCAUUUUUCACUCAAAUCAUUUGAUUAAAGAGCCCUUUCCAUGUAUUUUUUCACAAGGAAUCCAAAUACGUAAUUUAUUUUACAAUCCGACAUCAAAUUUAUGCACAGCGAAUUAUUUAUCAGAUUUUCUUUUCUUAAAUUAAAUCACUAAACUCCCUACACUCAUCUCCCUCAUCUCUUCCCUCCUCCUUCUUCUUUAACCAAUCACCACCACUGCCGGCCGGAGUAAACUCCGGCGGCAAGCUGCCGUUGUUCCUCCUCCCCUCUCUCUCUCUCUUGCUUUUCCUUCCUCUCCCCUGCUAUCUCUCCCUCUCUCGCUUGCCGCUCCUCCCCUCUGCUCAUCUCCGCCGCGAGGCUCCGUCGGCAACGCCGAUCGGAGCUCCGGCCGACCACCACCAUCCUAUUCCCCGACCCGAAAACGAUCCAACCCCUCAAUCAAUUCAAACCCUCAUCACAGCAAGCAAAAGUCAAGUUUCAAACCCCAAAUGACAAAAUCCCUAAUUUUAUAACUAUGUUAACAAAAAUCCCCAAUUCUCAAGUGUAUAUAUAUGUAUAUGGAGUAUGGACUUGCAUUUUUCUUACUAAAACAAGCAUCUUCCAAGAAAAUGAUACAGCAGUAAAAUCUAAAGAAUUGGGACCACAUCAAUGUAAGCUCAAUUGGAUCCUUCAUGUAAUAUUUAAAAUAACAACUCAUAAAAUCUAAGAGAUUAAAUGAAUAAUCUUACCUUAAGUGUAGAAAAUUGUUCUUCUCAAACUCUUUAAUUGCUUCCUCCUCUUUACUCUUCUCUUCAUAAUCUCCAUAAUUUUCUCUUCUG
rnacentral:lncRNA from 1 species